AGGAAGGGUUUGAAUAUUCUAAAGGCACCAGAUCCCACCUGAUCUUGGAAGCUAAGCAGGGUCAGCCCUGGUUAGUACUUGGAUGGGAAACAACCAAAGAAUACUAGAUGUUAUAGGUG
rnacentral:rRNA from 1 species